GCCUGUGAGGACUUGCAUGUAUGCACGGCCUGGUUGUGCAUAGAAGGGAGAGAAAGGCCGGCCGUUAGUCUUUCUGGACUUCUCAGGCUUUGGCCUCCUCCGAGACCCUGGGGGGCUGCCCUUUCUGCCUUGUAUUCCCCCAAAGUCUCUGCUUCCUAACAACAGAGUUUGCCUUCUUGCUUAAGACCCAGUGAGCAGGCUUCUGUUCUUGCAGCCAAAGGAGCUUUGGUCCCAGCAGUGGUGGUGGCUGGGGCAGCGCAGCCUCCUGCAUGGGCUUGGUGGAGUCCCGGGGCCCCUGUGUGCAAGGUCCAUGCUCCUCCAGCUCCCAGAGGCCCAGCAGGGGCCAGGGCUGGGUCUUGCUGACCCUGAGGUUAAAGCUACCACUAUCGCUAGGGAGAGCUCUCUGUGGGCUUUCACACCCCAGAAGUCCCAGGAUACAAGUCUCCUGAGGAGGGCCUCUGGGAGAGUCCUGCUGGGGACAUGGAUCCCUGUGCGGGGGGUAUUUUAUAGAUAUGCAGGAUGCUGAAGUUUCAAUCCAAGCCUUUUCACUUCAUCGCCAACCACCCUGCUCUCUUUAGUACCAGCAACAUCAUCAAGUCACCGCAGAGAAGCAAGUACCCCUGGGCAGCCUUGACCCCCACCCAGAGAGACUCACCAGGUUACAGAGGCUGGAAUCUGAUGGGGUGAUGGUUGUUGGUUGGGGUUUCUCAGGUUUAAGGAGAGGAUUUUCCCUACCCAUACCCCCCACCCCAUUGCCAUUCUCAAGAACUCAUCCCAGUUGCCCGGAAGAACAUCCCAGGCUGAGUUAUGUUGUGUGACCUUCUCACCAGUCUUUGCAGAUUAGAAGUAGGGUGGACAUCUGAGCCAAGCCAUGCCAGUGUUCUGUUUGUGGAGGAUUUGGAGUUAAGGCGGGGAGGCCCUGGGAGCCAGCCUCCUGUCUUCAAGGUGCCAGUGACUUAGAGGCCAUGGGUUUCUUCCUUUUGUCCUAAAAACAUAGAGAGGGCUGAUGCAGAGGAGAACCACAGGAGCCGAGGGAGAAGAGAUGCCACCUUGGGGCUCCUCGUGUUCCCAGGUACAGGCUGUACGUCUGGAAGGCAGGGCCCUCCUUCCUGCCUUGGGUUUCCCCAAAAGUCUCUGCCUCCUAACAAGGUUUACUUCCUUCCUUAAGAACCAAUGAGCAGGCCUCUGUUCCUAGCUGCCAAAGGGCAUCUGGCCACAGCAGCAGGAGCUGUGCAGCCCCAUGCGUGGGCUUGGAGGCCUCACACAGCUUCUGCAUGGAGGGCGAGGGGCUCCUCCAGCUCCCUGAGGCCCAGCAGGGCCUGGGGCUGGGUCUUGCUGACCCUGAGGGUAAAGUCACCCCAGUCAUGAGGGGAAGGGCUCUGUGGGCUUCCUGAAGGACAUACGCUUUGGAGGUAGAGCAGGGUGGCCUAUGGGGAGAGGGAAGGAACAGGGCCACAAGUUGUCCCAGAACAUUUGGCUGUUAGAGGGAGUGUAUCAGGGCAGGAAGGGAGAUGGCCCUGGCGCCGGCAGCUCUGGUUAGCUUCCUCUGCAUGUCACAUGUCCACAUCUCCAGAGUUCCUGCAAGGACAACAACAGUGCCAUUUAAGUGAGGAACCUGAGGUUUAGAGGACAUAUUUCCUUCCCAGGGCUGCCGUCAGAGAACAGUAACUGGUUGGGGGAGAGGUGGGGGCUUAAGACAAGAGACAUUUAUUCUCCCACUAUUCUGGAGGCCAGAAGCCUGAAAUCAAAAUGUCCACAGGGCUCUGCGCCCUCCAAAGGCCCUAGGAAGAGGCCUUCCUUACCUUUUCUGGUGGCUCCAGGUGUUCCUGGGCUUGUGGCUGCCUCGCUCCAGUCUCUGCCUGUGUAUUCAUGUCGUCUUUCCUCUUAUCUCUUGGUCUUCUCUUCCAUCUCUUAAAAGAGCGCUUGUCCUUGGAUUUGGGCCCACCUGGAUAAUCCAGCAUGAUCUCAUCUCUAGAUCCUUAACUUAAUUCCGUCUACAGAGACCCCUUUUCCAAAUAAGGACACAUUCACAGAUGCUGAGGGUGGCAGGUGGACAUGCUAUUUUGGGGCCUCAUUUAACUUUCUGCAGAUAGGCUGGCUGAUUUUCCACUGUCACGCAGCAGUAAAUAUCUGAGCGAGGUCUGGAACCAGCCCAGUCUGACUGCCAUGAUAUUUGCUGGAUACAACAUGAAGAUAUGGGAGGAGAGGGAGAAAGGCCAGGGCAGAAAGUGCCUCCCAACACUUUCAGUAUUUCCUGCACUCUCUGGGAAAACAUAGGUAUGAUGAUAUUUAUUCUAGAUCAAUGGCUGUUAGAGAAAAGCCAGGGUGGGAGGCCCUGGGACGGCCUUCACUCCUGGGUCCCUGUGCUCCCACAUAUGUUCCUACAUGAACCAUGGCCUCCCUCUCAGAAGAUGCCCUCAGAUCCCAUGGGUGCAUUGCUAGCAACAUCCACAGGCACCGGGAUCUUGAGCACUGGAGCGGCCCCAAAGGGGAAGGUGUUGGUUGGUCCAGGAGGAGAGCACUCUCCAGGGAGGUGAAGGGCCAGAAGCAGAAUGGAGCAGAAUUCCUUCUACUCAGGGGAGGAGGCUGUGGAGAACCCUGUCCCCCUACCUACAUUUCUGUCACCCCAGAAUUGUUCAUGCAGUGCUUUGACACUGCCAGCACCUCUGACCUCUGACCCUCUGUAGAAUCCAAAUGCGGAACUUUAUCAGGGAUCCAUGCCCACCCCCAGCACACACACACACACACACAACACACACACACACACACACACACGUUUUUGUGGGAUGAGUCUGAGAGGACCCUCCAGGGCUGUCCACGUUUCCCACUCCAGCCCUCCUUCCUUUACCUUCACACUUGGCCUCCCGACUUACUCUCAACCCACCUCCUUGGUGUGCAAACUAACAAAAUGCACUUUUCUGCCCAAACUCCCCUACAUCAUUAAGUGACAUAGAAAGUUCAGUUCAAUACGGGGGAAAAUUGAAUUUAUCUUGGAAAUGUUUUAUUCUUCCAAAAUUUCACUUUGGCAAAGUCUAAUGCAUAGAAAAGCAUGAAAUACUACAGCUCCAGACCAAGCAAGUUGUUCCACUAAGCAUUAAGCCGCAGGGUCCGAAUUCUGCCUCUCUCCCGUCAACCACUCUCUUUAACUCAAAUGCCCAUCAACGUCCCGGCUAAAUGUGAGUUUUCCACGGAUCGCAUCUUAUCAUAAUGUCACAAAACCCAUAGAAUUACAAAUCAGGUUUAAGGCAGAAAACAUGACAGGCAAAUAUAAGUACACAAAAAGUACAUUAAGGAUCCAUCUUCAUUUAUUCUCCGCAUUCCAACCUACCUCUCCGCGCAGACCCGCUCCGUGCGGCGCUCAGCUUGAAGUAGCCUCAGAUCCAUUUUAAAGUGGACUGAAAUAUAAAUGACAGUUCACACUGCACAUGAACAUAGACAACUGUAUAAAAUAUUUAAAUAAAGACAAGAAAGAACAGAGGAUUGCAGCAAAGCCUUUGGCAGAACCGGCCUUGGGGAAUUUAGCAGCUUGAGAUUCAUUACAAAUAUCAUCUUUA
rnacentral:lncRNA from 1 species